rnacentral:rRNA from 1 species
AUCAGCAUGUCGCGGUGAAUACGUUCCCGGGCCUUGUACACACCGCCCGUCACACCAUGAGAGUUGGCAAUACCCAACGUACGUGAUCUAACCCGCAAGGGAGGAAGCGUCCUAAGGUAGGGUCAGCGAUUGGGGUGAAGUCGUAACAAGGUACC